rnacentral:rRNA from 1 species
GCAUAUCAAUAAGCGGAGGAAAAGAAACUAACAAGGAUUCCCCUAGUAGCGGCGAGCGAAGCGGGAAGAGCUCAAAUUUGUAAUCUGGCGUCCUCCGGGCGUCCGAGUUGUAAUCUAUAGAGACGUUUUCCGUGCCGGACCGUGUCCAAGUCCCUUGGAACAGGGUAUCAAAGAGGGUGACAAUCCCGUACUUGACACGACGACCGGUGCUCUGUGAUACGUUUUCUACGAGUCGAGUUGUUUGGGAAUGCAGCUCAAAAUGGGUGGUAAAUUCCAUCUAAAGCUAAAUAUAGGCGAGAGACCGAUAGCGAACAAGUACCGUGAGGGAAAGAUGAAAAGCACUUUGGAAAGAGAGUUAAACAGUAUGUGAAAUUGUUGAAAGGGAAACGAUUGAAGUCAGUCAUGUCCAUUGGAUUCAGCUGGUUCUGCCAGUGUAUUUCCUUUGGACGGGUCAACAUCAGUUUGAGCCGGCGGAUAAUGGCAGAGGGAAUGUGGCACCCCCGGGUGUGUUAUAGCCCUUUGUCGCAUACGUCGGCCCAGACUGAGGAAUGCAGCUCGCCUUUAUGGCCGGGGUUCGCCCACGUACGAGCUUAGGAUGUUGGCAUAAUGGCUUUAAACGA